CCAGCAAUGCCGCGUGUGUGAGAAGGCCUUGCGGGUUGUAAAGCACUUUCAUUAGGGAAGAAAAACUUAGGGUUUAUACCCCUGGGCCUUGACGGUACCCACCAAAGAAGCACCGGYUAACUCCGUGCCAGCAGCCGCGGUAAUACCGAGGGGGCAAGCGUUAAUCGGAAUUACUGGGCGUAAAGCGCGUGUAGGCGGUUUKUUAAGUCGGAUGUGAAAACCCCGGGCUCAACCUGGGAAAUGCAUUUGAAACUGGCUAGCUUGAGWUUGGUGARAGGGAAGUGGAAUUCCCGGKGUAGCGGUGAAAUKCGUARAUAUCCGGAGGAACAUCAGUGGCGAAGGCGRCUUCCUGGGCCAAAACUGACSCUGAGGCUCGAAAAGCGUGGGGAGCAAACGGGAUUARAUACCCUGGUAGCCCCCCCCCUAAACGAUGUCAACUAAACGUUGGGGGCWUUAAAACCYUCAGUGUCGCAGCUUAACSCWUUAAUUGUCCGCCUGGGGAGUACCGGCGCCAGGUUUAAA
rnacentral:rRNA from 1 species